UCCUAGUUAACCUAGGCAGUCUCAUUAGAGUCCCCACCUUUACGUGUUGGCAACUAAUGAUAAGGGUUGCGCUCGUUGCGGGACUUAACCCAACACCUCACGGCACGAGCUGACGACAGCCAUGCAGCACCUAUACAAAAGUCCUUGCGGAACCCGACAUCUCUGCCGGUUGCCUUUGCAUUUCGAGCCUGGGUAAGGUUCUUCGCGUUGCAUCGAAUUAAACCACAUGCUCCACUGCUUGUGCGGGCCCCCGUCAAUUCUUUUGAGUUUCACCCUUGCGAGCGUACUCCUCAGGCGGUAUACUUAUCGCGUUAGCUUCGACACAGUCAGGGUUGAGCCCAACUACACCAAGUAUACAUCGUUUACGGCAAGGACUAC
rnacentral:misc_RNA from 1 species